rnacentral:rRNA from 1 species
CACGGGGGGAGCAAGCGUUGUUCGGAAUCACUGGGCGUAAAGGGCGUGUAGGCGGUCAGGUAAGUGGGACGUGAAAUCCCUCGGCUCACCCGAGGACCGGCGUCCCAUACUGCUUGGCUUGAGUACGGGAGAGGAUGGAGGAAUUCCUGGUGUAGCGGUGAAAUGCGUAGAUAUCAGGAGGAACACCGGUGGCGAAGGCGUCCAUCUGGCCCGAUACUGACGCUGAGGCGCGAAAGCUAGGGUAGCAAACGGG